CGAAGACACACAGAUGCGAGGAGAAGCAGUCAGAUGCAAAGGUUUGACCACGUCAGGAGCUGGUUCAUUGUGAGGAUUAACCCUGACAACAGCAAGUGCUCCUCAAAGUUCCAGGUCACCAAAA